GAAAUGCGAUAAGUAAUGUGAAUUGCAGAAUUCAGUGAAUCAUCGAAUCUUUGAACGCACCUUGCGCUCCUUGGUAUUCCUUGGAGCAUGCCUGUUUGAGUAUCAUGAAAUCUUCAAAGUAAAUCUUUUGUUAACUCAAUUGGUUUCUACUUUGGUAUUGGAGGUCUUUGCAGCUUCACACCUGCUCCUCUUUGUUCAUUAGCUGGAUCUCAGUGUUAUGCUUGGUUCCACUCGGCGUGAUAAGUUAUCUAUCGCUGAGGACACUGUAAAAGGUGGCCAAGGUAAAUGCAGAUGAACCGCUUCUAAUAGUCCAUUGACUUGGACAAUACUUUUAUGAUCUGAUCUCAUAUCAGGUAGUACUACCCGCUGAACUUAAGC
rnacentral:misc_RNA from 1 species